GACGAAGGAUGCAAGCGUUAUCCGGAUUCAUUGGGUUUAAAGGGAGCGUAGGUGGCCUGCUAAGUCAGUGGUGAAAUCUCCGGGCUUAACCCAGAAAUUGCCAUUGAUACUGGUGGGCUUGAGUGCAGUUGCUGUUGGCGGAAUAUGACAUGUAGUGGUGAAAUACAUAGAGAUGUCAUAGAACACCGAUUGCGAAGGCAGCUAACAAAACUGUAACUGACACUGAGGCUCGAAAGUGUGGGGAUCAAACAGG
rnacentral:rRNA from 1 species